rnacentral:rRNA from 1 species
AUUGAACGCUGGCGGCAGGCCUAACACAUGCAAGUCGAACGGUAACAGGAAGCAGCUUGCUGCUUUGCUGACGAGUGGCGGACGGGUGAGUAAUGUCUGGGAAACUGCCUGAUGGAGGGGGAUAACUACUGGAAACGGUAGCUAAUACCGCAUAACGUCGCAAGACCAAAGAGGGGGACCUUCGGGCCUCUUGCCAUCGGAUGUGCCCAGAUGGGAUUAGCUAGUAGGUGGGGUAACGGCUCACCUAGGCGACGAUCCCUAGCUGGUCUGAGAGGAUGACCAGCCACACUGGAACUGAGACACGGUCCAGACUCCUACGGGAGGCAGCAGUGGGGAAUAUUGCACAAUGGGCGCAAGCCUGAUGCAGCCAUGCCGCGUGUAUGAAGAAGGCCUUCGGGUUGUAAAGUACUUUCAGCGGGGAGGUAGGGAGUAAAGUUAAUACCUUUGCUCAUUGACGUUACCCGCAGAAGAAGCACCGGCUAACUCCGUG